rnacentral:rRNA from 1 species
UUUAAAUGUAAAUACUUAUCAAAUUAUUAUAAGUUAUGCUCUUUAAAAUUAAAGAUUUUGGCGGUAUUUUAGUCUUUUCAGAGGAACCUGUUCUAUAAUUGAUAGUCCACGAUUUAAUGUACUUACUUUAAAAAUUUGUAUAUCAUCGUAGUUGAAUAUUUUAAAAGAAAAUAAUAUUCUUAAUAUAUAAAUUUAUAAAAAAUCAGAUCAAGGUGCAGUUUAUAGGUAAGAAGAAAUGGGUUACAAUAAAAUUAAUUAAUAUGGUAUUAUAAAUUUAAAUUUAUAAUUAAAGUGGAUUUGAAAGUAAUUAAAAUAAAUUUAUUUUAAUGAUUUAGCUCAUAAAAUAUGC